AGGGAGUUUGAUCCUGGCUCAGGAUGAACGCUGGCGGCGUGCCUAAUACAUGCAAGUCGAGCGAGAAUCAAGUGAACGGAGAUUCGUCAAAGUGAUCUUGAGGAAAGCGGCGGACGGGUGAGUAACGCGUAGGCAACCUGCCCUUAGCAGAGGGAUAGCCAUUGGAAACGAUGAUUAAAACCUCAUAAUGCUGAAGAGUCACAUGUCUUUUCAGCCAAAGAUUUAUCGGCUAAGGAUGGGCCUGCGUCUGAUUAACUAGUUGGUGAGGUAACGGCCCACCAAGGUGACGAUCAGUAGCCGACCUGAGAGGGUGAUCGGCCACAUUGGAACUGAGACACGGUCCAAACUUCUACGGAAGGCAGCAGUAAGGAAUCUUGCACAAUGGGGGAAACCCUGAUGCAGCAACGCCGCGUGAACGAUGAAGGCCUUAGGGUUGUAAAGUUCUGAUCUGUGGGAAGAAGAAAGUGACGGUACCACAGGAGAAAGCCCCGGCUAAAUACGUGCCAGCAGCCGCGGUAAUACGUAUGGGGCAAGCGUUAUCCGGAAUUAUUGGGCGUAAAGAGUGCGUAGGUGGUUACCUAAGCGCAAGGUUUAAUCUUGAGGCUCAACCUCAUUCUGCCUUGCGAACUGGGCUACUUGAGUGCUGGAGGGGAAAGCGGAAUUCCCAGUGUAGCGGUGAAAUGCGUAGAUAUUGGGAAGAACACCGGUGGCGAAGGCGGCUUUCUGGACAGUAACUGACACUGAGGCACGAAAGCGUGGGGAGCAAACAGGAUUAGAUACCCUGGUAGUCCCCU
rnacentral:rRNA from 1 species